CCGGUGGAGUAACCAUUUAUGGAGCUAGCCGUCGAAGGUGGGACAAAUGAUUGGGGUGAAGUCGUAACAAGGUAGCCGUAUCGGAAGGUGCGGCUGGAUCACCUCCUUU
rnacentral:rRNA from 1 species